rnacentral:rRNA from 1 species
UACAGAGGUGGCAAGCGUUGUUCGGAAUUACUGGGCGUAAAGGGCGCGUAGGCGGUCCCGUCAGUCCCUUGUGAAAUCCCCCGGCUCAACCCGGGAACUGCGUCCGAUACUGGCAGGCUUGAAUCCGGGAGAGGGAUGCGGAAUUCCAGGUGUAGCGGUGAAGUGCGUAGAUAUCUGGAGGAACACCGGUGGCGAAGGCGGCAUCCUGGACCGGCAUUGACGCUGAGGCGCGAAAGCCAGGGGAGCAAACGGG